GACAGCAGUCGCCGCGGUAAUACAGAGGGUGCGAGCGUUAAUCGGAUUUACUGGGCGUAAAGCGUGCGUAGGCGGCUUCUUAAGUCGGAUGUGAAAUCCCUGAGCUUAACUUAGGAAUUGCAUUCGAUACUGGGAAGCUAGAGUAUGGGAGAGGAUGGUAGAAUUCCAGGUGUAGCGGUGAAAUGCGUAGAGAUCUGGAGGAAUACCGAUGGCGAAGGCAGCCAUCUGGCCUAAUACUGACGCUGAGGUACGAAAGCAUGGGGAGCAAACAGGAUUAGAUACCCCAGUAGUCCCUGUCUCUUAUAA
rnacentral:rRNA from 1 species